CUAAGAUAAGGCAUUCUUCCUGGGCAGCAGUGAGUAUAGGAACAGUUGGCCUUUUUGGAUGAAGGUGUGAUUACUGGAAAGGAGUACUGCCAGGUGAUAAAGUAAGAAGACAAAGAUGCAGACAAUCAAAAGCAGCCACAUCAGUCUGGUGAUGGGCAAGGGAACACGUGUCAAAGCCAGCUGACCUUUACAUACAUCACGGCUAACUAGAAAACCAUUUGGUGACUUGCUAGUUCCUCGAACUUCUGGGAAAGAGAAUGGUGUUAUAGGAAUUUCGCCUUCUCCUGGUGUCGA
rnacentral:lncRNA from 1 species